CAGAAUAUAGCUUAUUUAUAAAGUUAAUUAUUUACAUUAAUUAGAAAAUUUUAUUAUUUUUUCUGA
rnacentral:tRNA from 1 species